rnacentral:rRNA from 1 species
UACGUAUGGAGCAAGCGUUAUCCGGAUUUACUGGGUGUAAAGGGAGCGCAGACGGCAGGGCAAGUCUGAUGUGAAAACCCGGGGCUCAACCCCGGGACUGCAUUGGAAACUGUCCGGCUAGAGUGCAGGAGGGGCAGGCGGAAUUCCUGGUGUAGCGGUGAAAUGCGUAGAUAUCAGGAGGAACACCGGUGGCGAAGGCGGCCUGCUGGACUGUAACUGACGUUGAGGCUCGAAAGCGUGGGGAGCAAACAGG